rnacentral:tRNA from 1 species
GCCAGAAUGGCAAAGUGGUUUGAGGGUUGGACUAUAACUCUGGAGACCAGGGUUCAAAUCCCUGCCCAGCCA